rnacentral:rRNA from 1 species
UAUACGACUCUCGGCAACGGAUAUCUCGGCUCUC